rnacentral:rRNA from 1 species
CCACGUCCGGCGUCAAGAGGGAAACAACCCAGACCGCCAGCUAAGGUCCCAAAGAUUGGCUAAGUGGAAAACGAAGUGGGAAGGCUAAAACAGUCAGGAUGUUGGCUUAGAAGCAGCCAUCAUUUAAAGAAAGCGUAAUAGCUCACUGAUCGAGUCGUCCUGCGCGGAAGAUGUAACGGGGCUAAGCCAGUCACCGAAGCUGCGGAUAUGCGUAAGCAUAUGGUAGGAGAGCGUUCUGUAAGCCUGCGAAGGUGUCUUGUAAAGGAUGCUGGAGGUAUCAGAAGUGCGAAUGCUGACAUGAGUAGCGAUAAUGGGGGUGAAAAGCCCCCACGCCGUAAGCCCAAGGUUUCCUGUUCAACGUUCAUCGGAGCAGGGUGAGUCGGCCCCUAAGGCGAGGCAGAGAUGCGUAGCUGAUGGGAAGCAGGUUAAUAUUCCUGCACCGUCGUAUGAUGCGAUGGGGGGACGGAUCGCGGAAGGUUGUCUGCCUGUUGGAAUAGGCAGUUUCUGGUUCAUAGAAGGCGCUUAGGCAAAUCCGGGCGCAGGAUUCAAGGGACUGGGACGAGGAGUUUAGGCUCUGAAGCAAUCGGAAGUGGUUCCAAGAAAAGCCUCUAAGCUUCAGUCAUACGAGACCGUACCGCAAACCGACACAGGUGGGCGAGAUGAGUAUUCUAAGGCGCUUGAGAGAACUCGGGAGAAGGAACUCGGCAAAUUGGUACCGUAACUUCGGGAAAAGGUACGCCCUUGUAGCUUGGCUGAUUUACUUCAGUAGGGCGAACGGGUUGCAAUAAACUGGUGGCUGCGACUGUUUAAUAAAAACACAGCACUCUGCAAACACGAAAGUGGACGUAUAGGGUGUGACGCCUGCCCGGUGCUGGAAGAUUAAAUGAUGGGGUGCAAGCUCUUGAUUGAAGUCCCAGUAAACGGCGGCCGUAACGAUAACGGUCCUAAGGUAGCGAAAUUCCUUGUCGGGUAAGUUCCGACCUGCACGAAUGGCGUGACGAUGGCCACACUGUCUCCUCCCGAGACUCAGCGAAGUUGAAGUGUUUGUGAUGAUGCAAUCUACCCGCGGCUAGACGGAAAGACCCCAUGAACCUUUACUGUAGCUUUGCAUUGGACUUUGAAUCAAUCUGUGUAGGAUAGGUGGGAGGCUUUGAAGCGGGGACGCCAGUUCUCGUGGAGCCAACCUUGAAAUACCACCCUGGUUCAUUUGAGGUUCUAACCUUGGCCCGUUAUCCGGGUCGGGGACAGUGCAUGGUAGGCAGUUUGACUGGGGCGGUCUCCUCCUAAAGUGUAACGGAGGAGUUCGAAGGUACGCUAGGUACGGUCGGACAUCGUGCUAAUAGUGCG